AGAUGSWUUGGUGCCUUCGGGAMCUYUGAGACAGGUGCUGCAUGGCUGUCGUCAGCUCGUGUUGUGAAAUGUUGGGUUAAGUCCCGCAACGAGCGCAACCCUUAUCCUUUGUUGCCAGCGGUYMGGCCGGGAACUCAAAGGAGACUGCCAGUGAUAAACUGGRGGRRGGKGGGGAUGACGUCAAGUCAUCAUGGCCCUUACGAGUAGGGCUACMCACGUGCUACAAUGGCGCAWACAAAGAGAAGCGACCUCGCGAGAGCAAGCGGACCUCAUAAAGUGCGUCGUAGUCCGGAUUGGAGUCUGCMACUCGACUCCAUGAAGUCGGAAUCGCUAGUAAUCGUGGAUCAGAAUGCCACGGUGA
rnacentral:rRNA from 1 species